AUCCCAGUUCGGAUUGCAGGCUGCAACCCGCCUGUAUGAAGUUGGAAUCGCUAGUAAUCGCGGAUCAGCAUGCCGCGGUGAAUACGUUCCCGGGCCUUGUACACACCGCCCGUCACACCAUGAGAGUCGGGAACACCCGAAGUCCGUAGUCUAACCGCAAGGGGGACGCGGCCGAAGGUGGGUUCGAUAAUUGGGGUGAAGUCGUAACAAGGUAGC
rnacentral:rRNA from 1 species